UCCCCGUUACCGGGGCAGUUUGAAUAGAAAAAUACAACUAUUCACAAGGGUUGCGCUCGUUGAUGGACUUAACCAAACAUCUCACGACACGAGCUGACGACGGCCAUGCAGCAGCUGUCACUUGGCUCAAUAAAGCACUUUCUGCUUUCACAGAAAUUCCAAGGAUGUCAAACCCUGGUAAGGUUCAUCGGUUAUCAUCGAAUUAAAGAACAUAAUCCACCGCUUGUGCGGGUCCCCGUCAAUUCCUUUGAGUUUUAAUCUUGCGACCGUACUCCCCAGGCGGGAUGCUUAACGCGUUAGCUUCGCUACUGAAGGGGUCGAUACGGCAUACAGCUAGCAUCCAUCGUUUACGGCGUGGACUA
rnacentral:misc_RNA from 1 species